rnacentral:Y_RNA from 1 species
GGCUGGUCCGAUGGUAGUGGGUUAUCAGAACUUACUAACAUUAGCGCCAUUAAAAUUGGUAUACAACCCCCCACUGCUACAUUUGGCUUUAA